GAAAAAUGUUAUAAAAAGUUACACAAUACAAUAAAAAGGCUGUAUACAGGGGGUACCCGUACAGAGUCGAUCUGCGGGGACAGCUUAGUCGAGGUGUCGAAUACUGAAAAUAAUUUCCUCCAUUGCACAAAUACUGAAUGUUAGGAGUCGAUUCGAAGAUUGACACACAGAAAUGGGAGUCGACACCGGUAGUUGACGGGCAAGGAGUCGAGGAACCCACCACAGUUUCUCGAAAGAAAUCUUCUAGCUUGGAUGAAAGGAUGGAGGAGGGAACGAAGGGAAGGAACACAGAAGAUAUCCAGUCUUUUGAUUAAUAAGUUUCCUGAAACAUGUAGAUGACAUGAUGCAUGGCCUCUACAGCAGUGCUUGGCCACCCAUUCAUUCUCCAGUGACUUUUUCUGCCAUUUCUGCUUCUCGUGGCCACUUCAAGCAGCUGGGGACUCUCUUAGCAAGCAGGAGGUAGUGGGAUUGAUGCCCACAUUCUCCAACACACAUUGUUUUGAGGACCCAAGAAAGUGCACGGUCAGAGUGCCUGCAGCUCAGUCUUGUGACAACCUACUGUGAUGUAAUCAUGAUGUAACAAUGUCAGCCUAAAAAGUAGGAAUAUUACUUUUAAUCUGUCUGUCUGCAUAUUUCAGGACAUGGCAAGAUAGCCUACAGUUCAGGCUUGUGUAGUGCGACACCUGAUGGGUUGGACAAUUCUCUUCUCAUUACUGAUCUUGAAAAUAAUUAAUCAAUCUGCUAUCAUUAAAACAAUGGAAAAAUCGAA